rnacentral:rRNA from 1 species
GAUGAACGCUGGCGGCGUGCCUAAUACAUGCAAGUCGAGCGAACAGACGAGGAGCUUGCUCCUCUGACGUUAGCGGCGGACGGGUGAGUAACACGUGGAUAACCUACCUAUAAGACUGGGAUAACUUCGGGAAACCGGAGCUAAUACCGGAUAAUAUAUUGAACCGCAUGGUUCAAUAGUGAAAGACGGUUUUGCUGUCACUUAUAGAUGGAUCCGCGCCGCAUUAGCUAGUUGGUAAGGUAACGGCUUACCAAGGCAACGAAGCGUAGCCGACCUGAGAGGGUGAUCGGCCACACUGGAACUCGGACGCGGUCCAGACGCCUACGGGAGGGAGCAGUAGGGAAUGUUCCGCAGUGGGCGAAAGCAUGACGGAGCAACGCCGCGUGAGUGAUGAAGGUGUUCGGAUCGUAAAACUCUGUUAUUAGGGAAGAACAAAUGUGUAAGUAACUAUGCACGUCUUGACGGUACCUAAUCAGAAAGCCACGGCUAACUACGUG